UUACGGCCAUAUUAGGUUGAAACGGUGGUUCCAUAACGAUCACCGAAGUUAAGCAACGUCGAGCCUGGUUAGUACCUAGAUGGGUAACUGCUUGGGAAUACUAGGUAG